GGGGGGGGGAGGAGCAGGCCGGGGAGAGGGGAUUUGGCCUUGGCCAAAGGCCACCAGGCCAAGGGGAAAAACACCAGGGGGUUGGCUAGGGUUUUCCUUUUCUUUUUUUCUUUCUUUUAUUUUCCAAAGCAUUUUCACAAGUGAAUUUGAAUCCUUUUAAAAGAAUUAGACCAAAACACACAGCACAAAAAUAAUUAUGCUCCGACAUGAAUGCACAAUCAAGGUUAUUAAACCUAUGAUGAAUUUUAUUUUUUCAACAAAAAUUAUUUAUUCACUAAAUUAAAUGCUCACACAAAUACUUAAAUAGUUCAAAUUAAAUCAUAUUAAUUCGAAAGCAAAUUUUUAGGUGUUACAAAUUCUACUCCCCGUAAAAGAAUCUCGUCCUCGAGAUUCGGAAAAGGCAC
rnacentral:lncRNA from 1 species